CAGCCCUAAACGAUGCGCGUUAGGUGUAUCGGUGACCACGAGUCACCGAGGUGCCGAAGGGAAACCGUGAAACGUGCCGCCUGGGAAGUACGGUCGCAAGGCUGAAACUUAAGGGAAUUGGCGGGGGAGCACCACAACGGGUGGAGCCUGCGGUUUAAUUGGACUCAACGCCGGGAAGCUCACCGGAUAAGACAGCGGAAUGAUUGCCGGGCUGAAGACCCUGCAUGACCAGCUGAGAGGAGGUGCAUGGCGUAGUCGUGU
rnacentral:rRNA from 1 species